rnacentral:lncRNA from 1 species
GGCGGGGCCUCGUCAGUCGCCAUGUUGAGAGCGCCGUGUCGCGGACUCGCUUGACCUUCUCAAGGUGGCGGCAUAAAGGGCGGAUAAAUCGAGGUGCCCCCUCCGUGCCGGAGAGUGGCAGAAAGGUCCCUGCUGCUUGCCCUGUCCUCGGUGGGCAGAGAGCUCUGACCUCCGCCGGAUGGGCUGCCAAUUCUGAAGCGCUCACCAGAGAUCUGCCUGGGAGGAGAAGCAGAGCCAAGCACUGAGAACUGACAAGUGAGCUCCGGUGAGGACUGCCGCUCCCCCUGCCUUGGUGUGGGACCUCCUGAGCUCCCCUUCCUGUGCUGGGAGUGUUUCUCCUCUCAUCCAGCCAAGCCAGAGACCUCCUAGGGAACAAGCAGGGAAGGUUUAAGCACCGAGAUCUCCCAAGUAAGAAGUGACGUGACAAAAGGAAAUGGCCUCAAGUUGCAGCAGGGAAGGCUUAGGUUGGAUUUGAGGAGAAAUUUCUUCACUGGAAGGGUGGUCAGGCCUAGGAGCAGGCUGCCCAGGGAAGCCCCCAUCCCUGGA